rnacentral:rRNA from 1 species
UACGUAGGUGGCAAGCGUUGUCCGGAUUUACUGGGCGUAAAGAGCGCGCAGGCGGUCGUUCAAGUCGAGUGUGAAAGCCCCCGGCUCAACUGGGGAGGGUCAUUCGAUACUGAUCGACUCGAAGGCAGGAGAGGGAAGUGGAAUUCCCGGUGUAGUGGUGAAAUGCGUAGAUAUCGGGAGGAACACCAGUGGCGAAGGCGACUCACUGGACAACUGUUGACGCUGAGGUGCGAAAGCGUGGGGAGCAAACAGG